AUGACGGACAUGGGGCUCGGCUGCAUCGCCGUUGGCUGCCUGGACCUGCGGGAGCUCACGCUCAACUGGUGCCUCGGGAUCACGGAUUUGGGGGUCCAGCUCCUCGCCCUCAAGUGCAAGAAACUCAGGACCCUGCAUCUUUCCUACACCAUGAUCUCCAAAGACUGCCUUCCAGCCAUCAUGAAGCUACCCAAUCUUAAGGUGUUGGCACUGGUGGGAUGUGUUGGAAUAGAUGACGAUGCCCUUAGUGGUCUUGAGAAUGAAUGCAGCAAAUCACUACGGGUGCUCGAUAUGUCAACCUGUCGGAAUGUCACUCAUGCGGGAGUUUCAUCAGUUGUGGAGGCAGUGCCAAAUCUCUGGGAAUUGAAUCUGUCGUACUGCUGUAAUGUUACUCCAUCUAUGGAAAGAUGCUUCCAAAUGCUUCCUAAAUUGCAGACCCUAAAAUUGGAAGGCUGCAAGUUCAUGGCUGAUGGACUAAAAUACAUUGGAAUUUCUUGUGUCUCUUUAAGAGAGUUGAGCCUGAGCAAGUGCUCAGGAGUGACAAAUACUGAUCUAUCUUUCGUUGUGUCAAGACUAAAGAAUUUGCUGAAGCUGGACAUUACUUGCACGCAAUAUCACUAA
rnacentral:rRNA from 1 species